UGGGGAAUUUUGGACAAUGGGGGAAACCCUGAUCCAGCCAUCCCGCGUGUGCGAUGAAGGCCUUCGGGUUGUAAAGCACUUUUGGCAGGAAAGAAACGUCAUGGGUUAAUACCCCGUGAAACUGACGGUACCUGCAGAAUAAGCACCGGCUAACUACGUGCCAGCAGCCGCGGUAAUACGUAGGGUGCAAGCGUUAAUCGGAAUUACUGGGCGUAAAGCGUGCGCAGGCGGUUCGGAAAGAAAGAUGUGAAAUCCCAGAGCUCAACUUUGGAACUGCAUUUUUAACUACCGGGCUAGAGUGUGUCAGAGGGAGGGGGAAUUCCGCGUGUAGCAGUGAAAUGCGUAGAUAUGCGGAGGAACACCGAUGGCGAAGGCAGCCUCCUGGGAUAACACUGACGCUCAUGAACGAGAGCGUGGGGAGCAAACAGG
rnacentral:rRNA from 1 species